AUAUCAAAUGAACGGGCUUCGAAGAACCUUUGCGAUGGUACACACGUAACGAACGUAAAACCAGGUGGGUAAAGGGUGUCACGUCACCUCACGUAUCUUUCGCUGGUCCAUGCGUGAUUCCCAACCAUACUUACGUGAAUAUCAAACGAAUGGGCUUUGAAGAAGCUCUGCGAUGGUACGCA
rnacentral:lncRNA from 1 species